ACCGGCGAAUGUAAGCGGAGUACAGUGCCUCGGCCUCCGCGUACUCUCCAUUGUUGAAAUGAGCCUGGGCGAGUGUUAGGGUUGCGUGGCUUUCUUGCCGCUGUCCUUCCAUAGCAGCCAAGGCCUAGUUUUCGGUGUAGAAUGGGGGUUGACCUCCGAGCGGUUAGAGGUGGCACCACAAAGCCACUUCCACACCCUGGAAUCUACCUUGACAGCCAACCUUGGCGCUAGGUUUGUGCCUUAUGGGGAUCCGUCGUCUCGCGAGAUAACGGUUCCGCUGCUGGCGGGGCGUUUGCAGUGGCCCUUGUGAACUAUGUUUCUGCCGUUACCAGUGUUGGACCCGCCUUCCUCUUUUCCUAGAAAAGGCGCAGAUGCGUGGUCGCAAACUGAUUUCCAAGUCCGUUGUCUGAUGCUGCGAGACACUAUCCGUUUGUUACAGCGAAUUGGGGGCCGAUGACGCUGGAGGUGGAAGAAGCCGCGGUUCUGUUUCUUAAUGGCGAAUUAGCCUGCGGACGUCCUGUCAUUCCCUUGCCUUUUAGCGUCCCAACUUAGCAAAACUCCGCGUUUAGGGUGUUCUGAGUAGGCUUUGUCUACCCUGAAACGCUUUGUGUCGACAUUCCACCAGGUCUGUUCCACGGUCCAAACUUCUCUACCUUUUUUGACCCUCUAGAAUUGUGUUACGAUUAGUAGUAUAUUGUGUCGAGAGUCUGGGAUCUUUGAUGUUAGUUAUAUUCCCUGGCUGUUUAUGCCAAAGGGAAAUCCAAAUAGUAAUUUAUUACGUACAUUACGUAUAAUUCAAAUUAAAAUUUUGUAAGAACAGUUGCCAACCACGCUACCCUACAUGCCUGCUGUGUAUCUUCUCGGCGUCCCUCGAUUCUGUUUUGCUUCCCAAAGUACUUGAGCCCUUUCCGUCAUAAAAAGUAAAGAUGAAAAAUAUAUUUGGAGCAUGAUACUUACAUGCGGAAGUCUUAACAGGACAUAAAUUGUGUGCUUUUGGCUGCUUUCAUUAGAUUUUUAAUUUUUUCCUUUUACCACCACUGAAAAAAAUACAAAUACAGUGGAUUAAGGUUAAAUUAAAAAGCACUAGUAGAAAUUAAAAGAUUGCAAGACUACAAAAAAAUAAACUGGCAUUUCUGGUGUAAGCAAAUGGACAGCUCAAUAGAACAAAAGCCCAGAAACAUACCUCAAAUAGGCUGUAUUUUGUAAAAGACAUGUAACAUAUAUGGGGAAAGGACAGAUUAUUCAAAUGAGUGCUAUUGGGAGGAUUAGUUAACCAUUUGGGGAAAAAUACAUUUAAGCAUUUAAGCUCCCAAUUGACAUAAUAUUCAUUCCAGGUGAAUUAAAAGAUUAAAUAAAUAAGAUAAAAAGCUUUUUUUUUUCAGUUCCCAUUUAUUUUUGCCUCUUGGAGCAAUGUCAUCUUUUCAAUAUGAAAAAAACAAAACAAAAAACAAAUCUGAAGUACAGGAUAGAACAAAACCAAGUGUGUUGGGGGAAGCAACAGCAAAGGGAAGACAAGAUGUUGCAAAAAAAAAAAUGGAGGGGGGAUUCCCCUCUCCUCUGGGGAAUGACUCAAACACUGAUGUGGCAGCGUACACUAUUCUACAUAAAGCCAGGGAUGUUAAUCCUUUUGGGGGAUAAGAAAAAGUGGAGAUGGCCAGGCUCUGUGGCUCAUGCCUGUAAUCCCAGCACUUUGGGAGGCCUAGGCGGGCAGAUCACCUGAGGACAGGAGUUUGAUAACAGCCUGGCCAACAUGGCAAAACCCCGUCUCUACUAAAAAUGCAAAAAAUUAGCUGGGCGUGGUGGCGGGUGCCUGUAAUCC
rnacentral:lncRNA from 1 species